UACAUCAAAGUAGUGCUUGAUUUUUGGUCUUUGUUUUUUCAUGUAAGAUUUGAUUUGAGCAUGUCUGUCUGUGGUCAUUGACUUCACCUUCAUCCCACUUUCAUCAAACUUUGCCAGACAUCUUUUUAAUUCCUCAAGUUCCAUUGCUCCAGAGUUGGUCACUUCAUUGGACUGUUUAACAUAAUUAUAUUCAAAAUCCAUGCAGCUAUAUGACCCAUACUUGGCACAAUAUCCAGGAAAUCACAUCUUCCAUCUCUUCCAAGGUUAAUGUUUCUUUUGUUAAUUUAUUAUUAAAGCAGAAACAAAACAACAUAUAUUUAAUUAUUUAAGUUACAUAAUGAGCGUUGUCCUAAACCAUGCGGUAUCGAGC